UUAUUAAUUAUUGGUUGUGAUGUUUCAAUAGUAGUGCCUAACAUAAAUAUUGUACAAAGGAAUUUCAAUCCCCCCACCAAUAUCUAUUGGUUUGAUAUCACAGUAUCCGGUGGCGAAUUUGAACACUCCACUUCCUCCGAUCACAGGUAUUUCCCUUAGCCCAUCUGCACUGUCAACUCUUCCGGCGACCACUAAACUACUCCCAUUAAACUUUUCCUCAUUGAAAAUCAAGGUCAUCAGAACUGUAGCCGAAAAUGUCUCCUUCGAGGUCAAUGAAAAAAAUCCCUGGGAUCUACCGACAACAUCCGUAGUAUUUUCAAGGUCUAGAGUUAAUGGGUUGUCGAAAGUAUAAGUAAGACCAAAUUGCGUGCUAGAAGAGUUGGUUGAGGCGGCCUGAGCAAUCACGACUCCGGUUGG
rnacentral:lncRNA from 1 species